UACGGCAGCAGUGGGGAAUAUUGCACAAUGGGCGCAAGCCUGAUGCAGCCAUGCCGCGUGUAUGAAGAAGGCCUUCGGGUUGUAAAGUACUUUCAGUCGUGAGGAAGGUGUUAAGGUUAAUAACCUUAGCAAUUGACGUUAGCGACAGAAGAAGCACCGGCUAACUCCGUGCCAGCAGCCGCGGUAAUACGGAGGGUGCGAGCGUUAAUCGGAAUUACUGGGCGUAAAGGGCACGCAGGCGGUUAAUUAAGUUGGAUGUGAAAUCCCCGGGCUUAACCUGGGAAUGGCAUUCAAGACUGGUUAGCUAGAGUCUUGUAGAGGGGGUAGAAUUCCAUGUGUAGCGGUGAAAUGCGUAGAGAUGUGGAGGAAUACCGGUGGCGAAGGCGGCCCCUGGACAAAGGCUGACGCUCAUGUGCGAAAGCGUGGGGAGCAAACAGGGAUUAGAUACC
rnacentral:rRNA from 1 species